GGUGGGGAUAGGAAGGGCUUGAGGAUGCUGUUGGAGUGGGAGAGUGGGAAAAGAAUGGAUCUCUUUGGUUGGUUCAAAGGGAACAAAUUUCUUUCCUACUCCACCCAUUCCUGCAAUUUCCUUAGGUUUCUCCCUUUCCCUUUCC
rnacentral:pre_miRNA from 1 species